rnacentral:rRNA from 1 species
CCGGCGACCGGCGGACGGGUGCGUAACGCGUAUGUAACCUACCUUUGACAGGGGGAUAACAUCGAGAAAUUGGUACUAAUACCCCAUAACAUCACCGGAGGCAUCUUCGGUGGUUGAAAACUCAGGUGGUCAGAGAUGGACAUGCGUUGUAUUAGCUAGUUGGUGAGGUAACGGCUCACCAAGGCGACGAUACAUAGGGGGACUGAGAGGUCAACCCCCACAUUGGUACUGAGACACGGACCAAACUCCUACGGGAGGCAGCAG